rnacentral:rRNA from 1 species
UGCGUAGGCUGUCUGAUAAGUCAGACGUGAAAUCCCUCGGCUCAACCGGGGAACUGCGUUUGAUACUGUCGGACUCGAGUCCUGGAGAGGGUGGCGGAAUUCCUGGUGUAGGAGUGAAAUCCGUAGAUAUCAGGAGGAACACCGGUGGCGAAGGCGGCCACCUGGACAGGUACUGACGCUGAGGCACGAAAGCGUGGGGAGCAAACAGGAUUAGAUACCCUGGUAGUCCACGCGGUAAACGAUGGAUGCUAGGUGUCGGGGAGCGAUCUUCGGUGCCGCAGCUAACGCAUUAAGCAUCCCGCCUGGGGAGUACGGUCGCAAGGCUGAA